rnacentral:pre_miRNA from 14 species
AACGUUAUACUGAUAAAAUCAGGUAAGAAAUCUUUGUGGUUUUCCGUGUUUAAACGCGAAAACUGAAGAGAUUUUUUACAGAUUCUGCAUAAUUUUCGAUUCGUC